rnacentral:misc_RNA from 1 species
AACAUCGCGCACCUGCGGGAACCUGCGGAAGGAUCAUUACAGAGUUGCAAAACUCCCUAAACCAUUGUGAACGUUACCUAAACCGUUGCUUCGGCGGGCGGCGCGCCCUCGCGCGCGCCCCUGGGCCCCACCGCGGGCGCCCGCCGGAGGUCACCAAACUCUUGAUAUUAAUUGGCCUCUCUGAGUCUUCUGUACUGAAUAAGUCAAAACUUUCAGCAAUGGAUCUCAGAUCGGAAGAGC